GACCACCGCCCCCUCCCCCCGAUAAAAGAAACCCCGAAGGCCUUUUUUAGGGUCCCCCCAAAACCAAGCUGCCAAAAACAGUUAAUCCCGCUUUAAAAAAAAAAAUGAAAAAAAAAAAAUCUCCAAGCGCCCUGUGUGUGGGUCGCCUCCCCCAAUCAAGCUGCCGAAGACAGCCAGCCCCGCUUCAAAAGCCCGAGCGGCCUGGUACGGUCGCCCCCACCCAAAUUAGCAAAGCGGCGUCUGGGGCCGGUGGGAGCGCGCGCCCUGCCCGCGAAGCAGCCGCGGUGUCGCCGGCUCACAUCGUCCGAGACGGUGUCAGCGGGGCUGGCAGCCCGGGC
rnacentral:lncRNA from 1 species